rnacentral:rRNA from 1 species
UACAGAGGGUGCAAGCGUUGUUCGGAAUUAUUGGGCGUAAAGGGCGCGUAGGCGGUGCCACAAGUCACCUGUGAAAUCUCCGGGCUUAACUCGGAGCCUGCAGGCGAAACUGUGGUGCUGGAGUGUGGGAGAGGUGCGUGGAAUUCCGCGUGUAGCAGUGAAAUGCGUAGAGAUGCGGAGGAACACCGAUGGCGAAGGCAGCCCCCUGGGCUAACACUGACGCUCAGGCACGAAAGCGUGGGGAUCAAACAGG